rfam:Gossypium hirsutum cultivar TM-1 chromosome 26, whole genome shotgun sequence
UUUUAAAAAUUUCAUUCCUUUAUACUAUUAAAAACUGGCAUGGCUGACAAAAUAGUUAGAUAGCGACACAUGAUAUGCCACGUGUAACUCCUGUUGACGUUCAGUGACUAGUUUUUAACAGUAAAAUAGAUAAAAUAUUUAAUA